rnacentral:rRNA from 1 species
AGAGUUGAUCAUGGCUCAGGAUGAACGCUAGCUACAGGCUUAACACAUGCAAGUCGAGGGGCAGCAUGAUCAAAGCUUGCUUGAUUGAUGGCGACCGGCGCACGGGUGAGUAACGCGUAUCCAACCUUCCCUAUAGUAGUGGAUAGCCCGGCGAAAGUCGGAUUAAUACACUAUGUUAUUCAACGAGGACAUCUGAAAUGAAUCAAAGGCUUGCCGCUAUAGGAUGGGGAUGCGUCUGAUUAGAUAGUAGGCGGGGUAACGGCCCACCUAGUCGACGAUCAGUAGGGGUUCUGAGAGGAAGGUCCCCCACAUUGGAACUGAGACACGGUCCAAACUCCCACGGGAGGCAGCAGUGAGGAAUAUUGGUCAAUGGACGGGAGUCUGAACCAGCCAAAAGUAGCGUGCAGGAUGACGGCCCUAUGGGUUGUAAACUGCUUUUAUCGGGGGAUAAAGUCACCCACGUGUGGGUGUUUGUAGGUACCCGAUGAAUAAGGACCGGCUAAUUCCGUGCCAGCCGCCGC